GCCGGGCCCGUCCCACCCCAUCCGGGAUUGGCUGUGCGUGCCGCGGCCCUCCACCCCGCCCCGCUCAGGAUCUUCCCGGGAUUGGCUGAGCUCCCCGAACUCUCCAGGGAUCGGCUGCGCGCCCCGCCCUUGCCCAGAGUCUUCCCGGGAUUGGCUGCGGGCCCCGCGACCCUCCUGCUUCCCUCCCCGCCCCGCGCCGCCUCUCUGGUUUGUGCGCCCGUCGCAGGUCGCAGGCCUCUUUGUCAGCUGGAGUUGCGUGGGCUGACGCGCCACUACUUUGUAGCGGGUUUCGGGCGGGCCACGCGUGCGGCGACAGGAACCCAACCCCAGCCGACCUUGAGCCCCAGGAGUUCGUCUCUUACGUCUGCGGAAGUGCAGCUGCCUCAGUUCUUAGCGCAGGUAUGUUCCUAGCCUUGAGCGGGGUGGGGGGAGGAAUGAGUCAGCCUGGAGCACGUGGCCAGUGGGACCGGAGGGUUCCCCGGCGUCUGUUUGUCGCCAAGGUCCGAAUCCGGCUCCCCUUAACUGGAAGGAAACAUCCAUGUAGGGGCUCACCAAACAAAACAGCUGUUUCUAGUGUGGUUUCAGACUUAGAGAAGCAGAGAUCCACGAGGUAUUGAGAGCAACGCGGA
rnacentral:lncRNA from 1 species